rnacentral:rRNA from 1 species
GACCCUGUUCAACGGCCGCGGUAUCCUGACCGUGCGAAGGUAGCGUAAUCACUUGUUCUUUAAAUAAGGACUAGUAUGAAUGGCCCCACGAAGGUUACACUGUCUCCCAUUUUUAAUCAAUGAAAUUAAUCUUCCCGUGAAGAAGCGGGAAUAAAUAUAUAAGACGAGAAGACCCCAUGGAGCUUUAAAUUCAAGGGCACAUGCUAACCAAUAAGUAUAACAUUCUGUUCCUAAAUUUUCGGUUGGGGCGACCAUGGAGUACAACACAACCUCCACGCUGGAUGAUUUCACAUCUUAGCUAAAAUUUACCAAUUAAAGCAUCAGAAUCCUGACAGCCAUUGACCCAAUACAAUUGAUCAACGAACCAAUGUUACCCUGGGGAUAACAGCGCAAUCCACCCCAAGAGCUCCUAUCGACAGGUGGGUUUACGACCUCGAUGUUGGAUCAGGGUAUCCCAGUGGUGCAGCA